rfam:Bombyx mori DNA, contig: Bm_scaf89_contig34261, strain: p50T/Dazao, build 2, whole genome shotgun sequence.
UUAACUCAAAUUUGUAUGGAGUUGGAACGUUUGCCUAAGUUUGCCGCUAGGGGCGCUUCGUUCCAACUACAUACAACUUUGAGUUA